rnacentral:lncRNA from 1 species
GGUGCAGAAGGGACAGGUCAUAAUCCUUGUCUGGCAGGUACAGAAAGGACAGGUCAUAAUCCCUGGCUGGCAGGUGCAGAAGGGACAGGCGUCACCCCCACCAGCAGGUGCAGAGGUGCCGUUGCAGCAGUUGGAUGUGAGGCCAAGAAGCAGAAGCUAAGGGAGGGGGUCUGGGGCAUCCCUGGAGCUCAGAAGCCAAGGCCCGUGCCUGCCCCAGGGCUGGUGCCAUACAUAGUUCCAGGUACUGGGGACGGAGGGUAGCCGAUGGGGCCCUGAGCAGGACGUGCCUCUUCUGGACUUGACCACAGAACCCAAGCAUGGUUCAAGCGAUUCUCCUGCUUCAGCCUCCUGAGUAGUUGGGAUUACAGAUGCCCGCCACCGCACCCAGUCACAGAUGGACUCUGAGAGAGAAAAUAGCACCCCUGUCCAAACAUCACAUGCCUGGCGGAGGAACGCAGCCUGGCCUGUGCAGCCGAAUGUUGGAGAGUGCACCUUCCUCUCUUAUUUUGUUUUAUUUCCAGGGAAAGGGAAAGGAAGACAUGCAGUCUCAUUGAAGUCCUUGGGUCACUUUACCCCUGCCCUUGGGUUGAUGGACGAUCAGAUGUCUUCCUUCUCAUGCUGGCUGAGACAUCAAACACCAGAGUGGACUUACUUGGCUCCAGUGCUGGUGAUGGGCACUUCUGGGUGAAUGGAAUCUGGGGUGUACUAGCAAAUUUGCUGGUUCUUAGUGCAGGAUCAUUUGAAAAUUUAUUAUUCUGCCAAAUUGAUCAAAUCACUUUGAACAAUUUAUGCAUGUACUUCAUUACACAAUAGUUUCCAUUUCUGCACAUUCUAACACCUAUUAAUUUUUGCAAAUACUAUAGCCAUAAUAUAACAUCACAUUGUUAUUUUUGAUUUAUGUUUAACUGAAUUCAGGUAAUUUUGUACUGGUGUUCAGAAGAUUGACUUUAGGUUUUCUUACUUGCAAAUUACCUUUUCAUGUGUGUUGCCCAUGUUUUAAUGGGUUGACCUUUUUUAUUGAUGUUACUAUGGACUGAACUGCAUCCCUGCGAGAUUCAUAUGUUAAAGCUCGAGCUCCCAGUACCUCACAAUGGGACUGUAUUUGGAGAUAGGGCCUUUAAACAGGUAACUAAGUGAAAAUGAGGUCAUAAGGGUGGGCCCUGGUCCAAUGUGGUUGGUGUCCUUAUAAGAAGAGGAAAUGAGGACACAGACACACACACAGGAAUGACUGCAUGAGACACAGGAAGAGGCCCCAUCUACAAGCCAAGGAGAGCCUCAGGAGGGUCCAGGAAUGACUAAAUUGUCAUCUCAGACUUGUAGCUUCCAGCACUGUGAGAAAAUAAGUUUCUGUUUUUCCAUUAAAAAUUCUGAUUAUUAUUGUUGAAAAUGAGCACAAUGGCUUUUUAAAAAAAAAAUGUUGGUAUUCUAUCUGACCAUCUGAGUGAAAGCUCUUAUUAGUGUUAGAGUUUUUUUCAGAUUUCUUUGAAUUUUCUGUAUAAAAAUAUUGUCAGUAAUACAAAAUAUAUUAUCUUUUCC